rnacentral:rRNA from 1 species
UACGAAGGGGGCUAGCGUUGCUCGGAAUUACUGGGCGUAAAGGGCGCGUAGGCGGACAGUUUAGUCGGGGGUGAAAGCCCGGGGCUCAACCUCGGAAUUGCCUUCGAUACUGGCUGUCUUGAGUACGGGAGAGGUGUGUGGAACUCCGAGUGUAGAGGUGAAAUUCGUAGAUAUUAGGAAGAACACCAGUGGCGAAGGCGGCUCACUGGCCCGGUACUGACGCUGAGGCGCGAAAGCGUGGGGAGCGAACAGG